rnacentral:rRNA from 1 species
AGUGAACGCUGGCGGUAGGCCUAACACAUGCAAGUCGAACGGCAGCACAGGAGAGCUUGCUCUCUGGGUGGCGAGUGGCGGACGGGUGAGGAAUACAUCGGAAUCUACUCUGUCGUGGGGGAUAACGUAGGGAAACUUACGCUAAUACCGCAUACGACCUACGGGUGAAAGCAGGGGACCUUCGGGCCUUGCGCGAUUGAAUGAGCCGAUGUCGGAUUAGCUAGUUGGCGGGGUAAAGGCCCACCAAGGCGACGAUCCGUAGCUGGUCUGAGAGGAUGAUCAGCCAAACUGGAACGGAGACACGGUCCAGAGUCCUACGGGAGGCAGCAUUGGGGAAUAUUGGACAAUGGGCGCAAGCCUGAUCCAGCCAUACCGCGUGGGUGAAGAAGGCCUUCGGGUUGUAAAGCCCUUUUGUUGGGAAAGAAAUCCAGCUGGCUAAUACCCGGUUGGGAUGACGGUACCCAAAGAAUAAGCACCGGCUAACUUCGUGCCAGCAGCCGCCGUAA